CUCUUGACAAAGGCCAUAUCGAUCAGGUUGGUGUUCUCGUCGCGGUUGGUGUUGCCGACCAGCACCUGGAUGUACGCGUCGUUGUCGCCCGUGAGCUGAUUCCCGUCCCGGU
rnacentral:rRNA from 1 species